CACGUAGGCACCAAGCGUUGUCCGGAAUCAUUGGGCGUAAAGCGCGCGUAGGCGGCCCCGGUAAGUCCGCUCUGAAAGUCCAGGGCUCAACCCUGGGAUGCCGGUCGAUACUGCCCGGACUAGAGUUCGGAAGAGGCGAGUGGAAUUCCCGGUGUAGCGGUGAAAUGCGCAGAUAUCGGGAGGAACACCAAUGGCGAAGGCAGCUCGCUGGGACGUUACUGACGCUGAGACGCGAAAGCGUGGGGAGCAAACAGG
rnacentral:rRNA from 1 species